rnacentral:rRNA from 1 species
AGUGAACGCUGGCGGUAGGCCUAACACAUGCAAGUCGAACGGCAGCACAGUAAGAGCUUGCGCUUACGUGUGGCGAGUGGCGGAAGGGUGAGGAAUACAUCGGAAUCUACUUUUUCGUUGGGGAUAACGUAGGGAAACUUAGGCUAAUACCGCAUACGACGUACGGGUGAAAGCAGGGGAUGGUCGGACCUUGCGCGGUUGAAUGAGCCGAUGUCGGAUUAGCUAGUUGGCGGGGUAAAGGCCCACCAAGGCGACGAUCCGUAGCUGGUCUGAGAGGAUGGUCACCCACACUGGAACUGAGAAACGGUCCAGACACCGACGGGAGGCAGCAGUCGGGAAUAUUGGACAAUGGGCGCAAGCCUGAUCCAGCCAUACCGCGUGGGUGAAGAAGGCCUUCGGGUUGUAAAGCCCUUUUGUUGGGAGAGAAAAGCAGCAGUUUAAUACCCCGCUGUUCUGACGGUACCCAAAGAAUAAGCACCGGCUAACUUCGUG